UUUUGGCCCCAGCGGUGCUUCUAGGAAGUAGAGCGCCGGCUCGCAUGCCUGCCCGCCCGCCAGCCUGCCGGAAUGAAACUAGUGAUCGAGAAGAUGGCCUCCCCAAAGGACAUCAUGUGACAGACUCUGAGAAUGAUGAGCCCUUAAAUCUUAAUGCUAGUGACUCUGAAAGUGAGGAGCUUCACAGGCAAAAGGACAGUGACUCUGAAUCUGAGGAACGUGCAGAGCCUCCUGCAAGCGAUUCUGAAAAUGAGGAUGUCAAUCAGCAUGGGAGCGACUCUGAGAGUGAAGAGACCAGGAAAUUACCUGGUAGUGACUCUGAAAAUGAGGAACUUCUUAAUGGGCAUGCAAGUGACUCAGAAAACGAAGAUGUUGAGAAGCAUCCCGCCAGUGAUUCUGAGAUUGAGGAGCUCCAGAAGAGUCCUGCUAGUGACUCUGAAACAGAAGAUGCUCUAAAACCUCAAAUCAGUGACUCUGAGAGUGAGGAACCCCCAAGGCACCAAGCCAGUGACUCCGAAAAUGAGGAGCCUCCCAAACCUCGAAUGAGUGAUUCUGAAAGUGAGGAGCUUCCUAAGCCUCAGG
rnacentral:sRNA from 1 species